rnacentral:rRNA from 1 species
UACGUAGGGUGCGAGCGUUGUCCGGAUUUAUUGGGCGUAAAGAGCUCGUAGGCGGUUUGUCGCGUCGGCCGUGAAAUCUCCACGCUUAGCGUGGAGCGUGCGGUCGAUACGGGCAUCACUGGAGUUCGGCAGGGGAGACUGGAAUUCCUGGUGUAGCGGUGAAAUGCGCAGAUAUCAGGAGGAACACCGGUGGCGAAGGCGGGUCUCUGGGCCGAUACUGACGCUGAGGAGCGAAAGCGUGGGGAGCAAACAGG